UCGCAAUCCGCGACUCGCUCUCGCGACACUGGAGGCGGCGACGCUGCGAGCACGCCGCGAUCUCCUUCCUCCGGCGGCGACCGGACGAGAGCUCAGAUCGGAGCUAGUCUUCCUCCCCUUCACCUCUCCCUCUCCCUCUCUCGCAUCUCGCCUCUCCCCUCUCCAUCAGGUCGUCUUCCUCGUCCAAGAUCUGGUCGGUAUGCGCCAGAUCAUGCUCCCGCGACGACAGGAAGAUGACGGCGGCGGACGCUGAUGGGGGCGAGCGGGGGAAGUCUUGGUACCUCAGCAAGGAGGAGAUCGAGCGCGGGUCGCCCUCGAGGCAGGACGGCGUGGGCGCCGGCAAGGAGGCCCAGCUCCGGGCCACCUACUGCUCUUCAUCCGCGACGUCGCCCUCAGGGUCUGUCUCUGACGAAAGCUGCGACUUUUGUUACCUAGAUCACAAUCGCGACGGGGAUCAUCCUCUGCCACUGCUUCUACCUCCACCAGUCCCAUGCCAAGAACGAGUAGCAGAGAUUCCCUCCUCCACGCUCACUGCUGCCACCCCGAAGUCUGAACCCUAGCGCCCCAGCGACAGGCAUGCCUACAACGAAGAUCAUGUGGAGAGAGCUCGAGGAGGACGACGGGGCAACCUCGACUUCCUGCUCCUGCCCCACGUCGUCGUCGGGCCCAACGAGAACAGGUUCAAGAAGACGACCGAGUACCGCUUCGACGCUGACGGCAACAAGGCCAAGGUCAUCAGCACCACCCGCGUCCGCCUCUCCAAGGCGGCCGUCGAGCGUCGCAACUGGUCCAAGUUCGGCGACACCGCCGCACGGCUCAACGUCGUCUCCACCGAGGAGAUCCUCCUCGGUGCCCACACGCCCCAGGAGGAUGGGCGGAGGGUGCGCGCUCGAGGAAAAGCGUCCAUGUCGUCGGCCAUGGCGGGCCUGCUCCCCAUGGACGAGGUCCGUUGGAUGUGGUCACGGGAAAGGGUGGGAGGAAGAGGAGGAAGAGUGUGAGCUCACCGUGGUCGAUCGGCAGGCUUGAAGAUGUCGGUGGUGAACUGUGGCUCCUCCACG